UCCGCCGCUGUCGGUGCCUGCGUCGCCGGGAGCGGGGCGGCCCGCGGUUGUGCCGUUAUGUGGGGACGCGGAGGAGGCAUGGAGGUCUGGGGGCAUGGCGCCUUCGCCUCGGGUAGAGACCGGAGACGAUUACAGAGAGCAGUGGCAUCUUCUCCUCAGGCAGGGACCAGGAGAAGGAGGGAUAUUGCACAUAUCCAUGAAGUAACUGAUACAGGCACAGAUGCUCAGAAAAAUACUAAGGGUCAUCCUGCCCCAGUGGUGUGGGAGAUGCAGAGGAAGAGAGAGAGAGAGAAAGAGAGAGAAAAUGGCUGUGGGCUCCAGUGGAUGUUGAUGGCACCUUCUCCUAGGACACAGUCUGGGUGCUCCUACCUUCUUUUACUUUCCAACUUGGCCUGACUGACCAUCCCUGAGCAGUGGAUUUGAAGCAAUGCUCCAGCCAUAAAUGGUCCACAGGGAACACAAGAUACAUAG